CAAAUGAUUCCCAAAUUCCUGCUCCUUUAUGUGCACACCUUGUAGAAUUCCUUCUUCUUGAGUAUAGGAAGGACAUGUGAAUAUGAUGAGAUCCCUGUUCCCUUGAUUAGAUUAUGUUAUAGGAGACUGUAUUGGCCUGUUUCACAGGGAGAAGUCAAUGAGACACAGUCCUAUUGGGCUGAAAGAAAGCAAGCAUCCAUGUUGUGAGAUGCCUAUGGGGUUCAUGUGACAAGGAACUGUGGAUGAACUCUAGCAGCUGAGAGCAGUCCCUGGCUAUUUGAUAGCUAACAAAGAAACGGGGACCUCAGUCAUACAACUGCAAGGAAAUGAAUUCUGCCAACAACCAGUGAGUUGGGAAGAGACCCUAGAGCCUCCGAUGAAAUUCACAGCCCUAGCUGACACCUUUAUUAUCAUUUGGUGAAACCCCAGGAGAAGAUCCAGCUAACCCAGACUAAGACUUCUGACCCACACAAACUGUGAAAUAAGAAAUCUGGUUAUUUUAGGCUGCUAAGUUUGUAGUAAUUUUUCAUGCAGCAAAGAAAGCUAAUACCACCCCCUUCUAGCACCACUCAUUUUGGAAGACUUUGUUCAUAUAAGCAAAUGCAAAUAUCUGAAUUGAGUGGACAUUUGAAAAAUAUUCGCCCACAAAUUUGACAAAGAAUUAAAGGGACUCUGUAGGCAAAGCUGACCAUGUGAAGGAAAGGAGCAGUUUGCCUCUCUCUGUGAUUACCAAACCAGAGUGAAAGCCUUCAACUACGGACCACUGCAAUUUCCACCAUAACAGGCAACCCAGCAAUUAGAACUGUUUGUUACAGUGACAGCAGAGAGAACCAUUUUCAAGCAACAAGGCACAGGAGCAGGAGCUGGAGGAAGAGAGAGCCUGUUCAUUUGAAGGGGACUAACGCCACACAGCAGCUAAUCCUGGAAUGGCAGGCAGUUUUGGGAACUGCCUAUCCUGCAAAGGCUGAGAUAUUCACAGACAUUCUUGAACUUUUGGAAAUGGUCUAAUUCUGCUUUUUUCUGACCAGGAAUACAAUUGGGUCAUAAAAUUUGGCGUUUGGGAAGAGACAAAGGUUUAUCUUUAGUCCAGUGCAUAAUUUAAUUUCUUACUUCAAUAUUAAAAAUGAAAACAUAAAGGUAGGCACUUUCUUUUCAAAUUCUGGAUUUUAGUGAGUAUUUCGGUGCUCAGAAAACAUCUCACAAUUGAAACUUUGCAAACAGAGUCAUGUUUGUUUACAACAAAAGUACUUGAAAUAAAACUACAGCAUG
rnacentral:lncRNA from 10 species